CCAUUCUGGAGGGCAAAGGGCAAAACUGAAUUCACUGAAAAAGCCCUGAGCCACAUGGAGGAGGAAAACAGGGCGCAUGCAGUUGUUCCUGGGAUUGCCCACCGAGCAAGUGCAGAGGGCAGGUCACACCCGCAGCCCCAAGGGGCUUCCCUGAGUGGCCCUGCCUGGUACCCACCUGAGCGGUUAUGCAGCUCCCCACCGUGCCUGCUUGAGCCCCCUGCCCCACUGGAGCCACCUGAGGAAUGAGGUGAGUGGUUGAAGUUUCCAGAAUUGGCAGGAGAGGCAGGGCUUCUGGAGAGAGAUGGAAAUUUAACCGGCCUGCCAGGAGUCUGCAAGAAGAAGGUGGGUGUUGUGUGUUGUGGUUAGGGUUUGUUAUUCCCUUCUCUGGACACACAUCAUCACAGUGGGGAGGAACCCAGAUUCCACUGGCUCACCCUAGCUGAUGCCUGCAUGCCCGGCACACCCCUGCCAACUCGUGCUCAGCCUGCCAGGAGCCCCCCAAAAGAGGAGAGUUCAUUUCUAUCUGCUGGCAACCAGACUAUUAGCUCAGGCUGAGAUCCUGUGAUGUAACAUUCCCCAACUCACCCCACUUUCACGAUCACUCAACCCCUCCCACAAUGCACACUAGAUGCAAACCAGCCCUGCCUGUUUCGAGCACCUUCAGAGGCCAGGCUCUCACUCUCCCACUAGAGAUUUGCUGUUGCAACAGCCCCAAGAGGCAGCAGCAAGCAAGCAAAGGUCAACCCCAUUUUACAGAGAGAUGGAGGCUCGGAGUUCCAGUCAUUCAUCACACAGUGGCAGCGCAAGGUCCUAAAUCCUCACCUUUGGUUUGCCAUUUACCGUAUCUAUGGUGUAGACAGUCUACACACGUGGAGAUAAUCUCCCACAUCAAGAGGGACUACCUCAGGACAUUACCGAGACACACCAAGGGUCACAAAGUCCAGACCGCUAAGGGCAAAAAGUUAAAGUCACACUCCUUGUGGGUAUGAGAAAACACCAUCGAGCUCCCUGCUCAGCGGGGAGUCUGCUUCUCCCUCUCUUUGCCCCUCUCCCUGCUCAUGUACUCUUGCUCUCUCUCAAAUAAAUAAAUUAAAUCUUUAAAAAAAAAGAAAAGAAAAGCUUUGGCCUUGCUGGAUUAGCAGGUCUGAUGUCCCUUCUGCCUGCAACACACCCCAACUUCAGUGAGUGACAUGUCAAAGCACGUCCGCUGGGCGACUUACAGCGUCUGUGCUCCCACCAGCCACGCCCACGGGGGCGCCCCGGCCGGCUCUCUGGGACAGCACAGUCUUCAUAGGCUCUGCUUUCCCGCUGUGACAUGUCCGGGACCGAUCGGAGCUCCACAGCUCAAAGCUGGAAGGGGUUCACCGCAUCUUCCCAAAUUUCAGUAACAGCCCUUGUCUUCACUGGAGUAAUUACCGCUACUUAAUGAGAUUAUCAAACGUCACGCAGCCCAAGCUCCCACCUUGGUGCAGUGGGAUGUGGCCAUGUGACCGGACGUUGGCUGAAUGGAUAUAAGCAGAAGUGAUGUGGGAGUUCCCAGGAAACUUGACACCUGUUCACAGAUGAGGAGACUGAGGCUUCUCAGGCUGGAAACACAGCCUCCUCCGUGACUCUUCUCCCCUCGACUCCCUAUAACCAAAAUGGACCUGAGAGACAAAUGGAAAUUUCCUGAAAUGACCCUCCCAACAAGUUCACGGCAUGAGGAUGAGUGACCAGGUCAGCCUUCAUCCUGGAAAACCAACUCUCCUGGGUGAUUAAAUAUUUAAUGAUAAUUGGUAUUCAAUAUUUGAAUAGAAGGAAAGCAUUUAAAAUGUA